AUGGCUUCUCGGCCUUUUGGCUAAGAUCAAGUAUAGUGUCUGUUCUUAUCAGUUUAAUAUCUGAUACAUCCUCUAUCCAAGGACAAUGUAUUAAAUGGAUUUUGGGGACUAGGAAUGGAAUAGAAACUUGCUCCAUCCAUUCCAUGCAUCAACCUGGUAUUGCAGUACCUCUAGGAAUGGUGCACCCCCU